AUUGAACGCUUGCGGCAGGCUUAACACAUGCAAGUCGAGCGGGGGAAGGUAGCUUGCUACCGGACCUAGCGGCGGACGGGUGAGUAAUGCUUAGGAAUCUGCCUAUUAGUGGGGGACAACAUCUCGAAAGGGAUGCUAAUACCGCAUACGUCCUACGGGAGAAAGCAGGGGAUCUUCGGACCUUGCGCUAAUAGAUGCGCCUAAGUCGGAUUAGCUAGUUGGUGGGGUAAAGGCCUACCAAGGCGACGAUCCGUAGCGGGUCUGAGAGGAUGAUCCGCCACACUGGGACUGAGACACGGCCGAGACUCCUACGGGAGGCAGCAGUGGGGAAUAUUGGACAAUGGGGGGAACCCUGAUCCAGCCAUGCCGCGUGUGUGAAGAAGGCCUUAUGGUUGUAAAGCACUUUAAGCGAGGAGGAGGCUACUUUAGUUAAUACCUAGAGAUAGUGGACGUUACUCGCAGAAUAAGCACCGGCUAACUCUGUGCCAGCAGCCGCAGUAA
rnacentral:rRNA from 1 species